AUACGUAGGGGGCGAGCGUUGUCCGGAAUGAUUGGGCGUAAAGGGCGCGUAGGCGGCCCGGUAAGUCUGGAGUGAAAGUCCUGUUUUUAAGAUGGGAAUUGCUUUGGAUACUGUCGGGCUUGAGUGCAGGGGAGGUAAGUGGAAUUCCCAGUGUAGCGGUGAAAUGCGUAGAGAUUGGGAGGAACACCAGUGGCGAAGGCGGGUAACUGGAUUGAAACUGACGCUGAGGCGCGAAAGUGUGGAGAGCAAACAGGAGUAGAUACCCUGGUAGUCCACGCUGUAAACGAUGAAUGCUAGGUGUAAGAGGUAGCGACCCCUUUUGUGCCGGAGUCAACACAAUAAGCAUUCCUGCUGGGGAGUACGGCCGCAAGGUGGAAACUCAAAUUAAUUGACGGGG
rnacentral:rRNA from 1 species